CUCGUAGUUGGAUUUCUGGUGGCGAGAUACCAUACGCCCGCGCGUUUUUGGUAUCUCUCCACCAUCCUUCUGUUAACCUAGAUGUGCUUUACUGGCUGUUUAGGAGCCCAGAUAUUUUACCUUGAGAAAAUUAGAGUGUUUCGUGCAGGCUUGCGCCCGGAUACAUUAACAUGGAAUAAUGGAAUAAGACUUUUACCUCUUCUGUUGGUCUAAGGGGUCUAAGUAAUGAUUAAUAGGGAUAGUUGGGGGCAUUAGUACUUAACUGUCAAAGGUGAAAUUCUUGGAUUUGUUAAAGACUAACUUAUGCGAAAGCAUUUGCCAAGGAUGUUUUCAUUAAUCAAGAACGAAAGUUAAGGGAUCAAAGACGAUCAAAUACCGUCCUAGUCUUAACCAUAAACUAUGCCGACUCGGGAUCGGGAGCGUGAGUUAUCCGCUUUC
rnacentral:rRNA from 1 species